rnacentral:lncRNA from 13 species
GCCAGGAGAGGAGUGCAGAAGGGGAGAGUGAGAGUGACCGUAUCGCCAGGGAGAGACGGAGAGCCCGAGCCAGGAGGAGAGCUCAGAGGGCUGGAGAUAGUGAUGACAACGAGCCCAGUGGAGAGGAGGGGUUGGGAGGCAGUGGGCAGGAUCCACAGACAGACAGGCACUCCAGCACCAGGUCCGACGUGUCAUGUAACGACUGUAUCGACAGAGGAGGCGGCUCUGAAACUAAGGAUUACAAGAAGAGGUGUAACCAGGGGAGGGCCUGGGAGAGCAUCGGCCCAUCCUCUUGGGUGCCAGGCCCACCCACUGGGGAGACAGGCCAAUCAGAAUGAGUUUUUCCCCACAAAAGGGCUUAAUCACAGACAGAAAUACACCUCAGUUUCAUCAGCUGUCUGGGUGGCUGGUCUCAGACGAUUCCUCAGGUAAAGGAGAUGGAUAUCGAGGUCCUGGGUUGCCGUGGUUACACGUGAUCUGCGGUUGUGAGGCCGGUUGAUGUACUGCCAAAUUCUCUAAAAGGACGUUGGAGUUGGUUUAUGGUAGAGAAAUGAAAAUUCCAUUCUCUGGCAACAGCUCUUUACACGCUCCCUCAACUUGAGACAUCUGUGGCAUUGUGUUGUGUGACAAAACUGUACAUGUUAAGAGUGGCCUUUUAUUGUCCCCAGCACAAGGUGCACCUGUGUAAUAAUCAUGCUGUUUAAUCAGCUUCUUGUUAUACCACACCUGUCAGGUGGAUGGAUUAUCUUGGGAAAGGAGAAACGUUCACUAACAGGGAUGUAAACAAAUUUUGUGUACAACAUUGGAGAGAAAUAAGAUUUUUAUUUGUCUGGAAAAUUUCUGGGAUCUUUUAUUUCAGCUCAUGAAACAUGGGACCAACACUUUACAUGUUGAGUCUAUUUUUGUUAAGUUUAUAUAUGUGUGUAUGUAAUAUAUAUAUAUAUAUAUAUAUAUAUAUUUGUGUGUGUGUAUAUA